GUGGGCAGGCACUUGAGGGCCAUGCGGCAGGAAGAGAAGUGUGUCUUUGUUCUCAGAAGGAGCUGGGUGGGAAAUGAGAAACGAUGGGUGGAAGGCUUAGUGAGGAGAACUGGAAUCUUGCUGCCUCAUGGUUAACAGCUAGCCUGGAUAAUUCUCUCAAGGAAAGACAUCUGUAGAUCCUUGAGAGACAGGAUUGCAGGAAGCUUGAAUUCUCCCCGGAAGUUUGGGGGAAACAGCCCCUGAUGAAGCACUUUGCGAAACAGCUACUUAUGCCAAUGUGGCUGUAGUGUGCUCUCCCUUGUUGGAUUUGUCAUUUACCAUCAGUCACCACAGAGCAUGUCACUUGCUUUUUUCUGAUUCAAGGACUCAUGACCUGAACUGUUUGUACUUAUUAAAUUUCCUUAUCCUGAAGACAUCUGGGAUUUUGCCUGGAUACCUACAAUUAUCAGUUCUCAAUUUUUCAUUGUUUUGUACAUUUAUUUGUCUGUAUGUUGUAUUUCUACUUUGAAUUGUGUUAUUUAUUUUUGUAUGUGUUAUAAUAUGUUUUCAUUGUGGGAUGGCAAUUCAUGUGGUUUGACCACAAUUUGAUAAGAUGUUGGUUUACCAUCGGUCUGGCAACACACCUGUCUCGAGUGUCCACAUUUGGCCAGGUGGCUUUGGUAAUUUCAUAAAGGCGAUCUUUGUUACAUAUUCUAUAUUAGUUUGAUUGUUUCCAGGUGUGUUGUGAGUUGGUUCAUUCAUUUCCUAUUUAUCCCCAGCACAGCAUCCCUCCAGUGCCUGUUGCUGGUGUCUAUCUUAUGUUUCUUUUUUAGAUUGUGAGCCCUUUGGGGACAGAGAGCCUAUCUCUCUAUCUAUCUAUGUACACUGCUUUGGGAACUGUUUUCAAAAAGCGGUAUAUAAAUAUUUGUUGUAUU